rnacentral:rRNA from 1 species
GACGAACGCUGGCGGCGUGCUUAACACAUGCAAGUCGAACGGAAAGGCCCUGCUUUUGUGGGGUGCUCGAGUGGCGAACGGGUGAGUAACACGUGAGUAACCUGCCCUUGACUUUGGGAUAACUUCAGGAAACUGGGGCUAAUACCGGAUAGGAGCUCCUGCUGCAUGGUGGGGGUUGGAAAGUUUCGGCGGUUGGGGAUGGACUCGCGGCUUAUCAGCUUGUUGGUGGGGUAGUGGCUUACCAAGGCUUUGACGGGUAGCCGGCCUGAGAGGGUGACCGGCCACAUUGGGACUGAGAUACGGCCCAGACUCCUACGGGAGGCAGCAGUGGGGAAUAUUGCACAAUGGGCGGAAGCCUGAUGCAGCAACGCCGCGUGCGGGAUGACGGCCUUCGGGUUGUAAACCGCUUUCGCCUGUGACGAAGCGUGAGUGACAGUAAUGGGUAAAGAAGCACCGGCUAACUACGU